rnacentral:rRNA from 1 species
UACGGAGGGUGCAAGCGUUAAUCGGAAUUACUGGGCGUAAAGCGCGCGUAGGUGGUUUGUUAAGUGAGAUGUGAAAGCCCAGGGCUCAACCUUGGAACUGCAUCUCAUACUGGCAGGCUAGAGUAUGGUAGAGGGAGGUAGAAUUCCACGUGUAGCGGUGAAAUGCGUAGAGAUGUGGAGGAAUACCAGUGGCGAAGGCGGCCUCCUGGACUAAUACUGACACUGAGGUGCGAAAGCGUGGGGAGCAAACAGG